rnacentral:misc_RNA from 1 species
AGAUAGAGACAGAGGCAGAGAUUCUCUGGCGUAAGUUCAAACGGGAACUUGCCGGUGUUGUGACGGGACUUUCUCUUGUGUGGUUCAAACCCAGUAGGCCGUCGUGAUUGAAGCGUUCAGACUCCUCCGGCUCUCGUUGAAUCUGGGUUUUCCUCUCGUGGCUUUGCCAGCCAAAGCUACGCUGCACAAAACUUCAUGAGUGGAUCAAGCAGCUCCACAUCAUCGCGCGAUCAGGUUGAUGAUGGGGCCAUUUCGCCUGUCCACGAGUACAUUAAGACCUUGGAAGAGUUGGUACUACGCCUCAAGACUGAUCAUGAAGCAAGAAGAUCAGCCCCGGAUUCAGCUGAAAGUGAGCCUGCACUACUCGAAGAGCAUGCGGCGAGCAUCAACAACUUCACUACAGACUUGGCAUUGCUGCAAAGCCUACAGCUAGCUGACAAACAGGUGGAGCUGUUGAUAGAGGAGGACAAUGAACUCCUGGCCCUCUGUGCAGAGAAUCAACGAAUAUGCGAAGAGGUCAUGAAGAAAAGGCAGGAGCUUGAAGAGGCCAAUGCAAACAUAUCGAAGUUGAAGAGUGCUUACCAUAGUUAUAUUGAUAAGAAGUUUUCAUCAAACAGAAGGCUGGAUCAAGGAGGCAAGCCUUCAGUGGAAAAUUGUGAGCACCCUGGUUCGCUCAGUUGGUAGAGCGACCGCCCCAGAGAGGCGUUCAUCCCAGGUUUGAUCCCCCGACAACGAUGAAUUUGUCAUCAACUAAGAGGCUUCCUUUUUGAGUUAUCCGCAUGGAUUUACUUGUGGCUUCAUGCUACAAAUGGGUGGUUGUCAAUUAUCCCUUUCAUGCAGGCCACUUUUUUUGAUAAAUAGUCCCAUACAAUUAUGCACGAAAUGGCAUGCUUAUGGCUGUGUACUAUGGACGAAACUUGACUGGAGUCAAAAGAAAGCUGCAAAAGGAGCGACACAAGCUGAAAGUUCUCAACAACAUCCUCUUGCAGGUUUUAACCUCAUCUACAAUUGACUGGGCAAAACACGAACGCCUCGUUGAGCUACUUGAUGAGAUAUCCAAGUUUUUA